CUUGGCAGGUUUGCUAUCUUCAUUAAUCAGAGAUUUCCAAUGAGAAGGAAUGGUCAGGAAAUUAAGAUAUGGAUUAAUGUGCCCCAACUGCCAAAAUGAUCACUAAUCUACCAUACAUCCACUGUAAUUUCCCAAGUUGCCAAUCUAUAAAUAUGACUUAAUUAUUAUAACUACAUAAAAGUAUACUACCUUCCAAACUCCAUAAGAACCUUUUUCUAAAAAGUUUGUCACCUUUGUUAAGAUCAAUAUCCAUAAACCAAAGGCCUUUGAUUAACAUUUUUAUCGUAUGACAGAUGGUCCAAACAUAUCUCAAGAACUGUAAUAACCACAUACGUCCUUGUUACCAUUAGUCACUUCUGGAAGUAGUCCAAAAUUACAGUGAGAGGAGCUUUAGACAUAACAAUGAUGUCAUGCCAAUCAUCCUACAUCACAAGGAUAUAACAGCAUCAUGCAUUACAGUGGACCCCAGCAAUCACAUAAGAUUAAAUCUGACUACUCAUCAUGGAAUCAUAUAACGGCCGUUACGUUAUGUUAUUUAUAGGGUUUAAAGGAGGCUGUUACCCUUUAGGCCGUUAUUUAAGGGCCUAUUUUGAUUUGUAGAAUAACGGCCGUUACCAUUAUUAAAUAAUGGUAACGGCCGUUACCAAUG
rnacentral:misc_RNA from 1 species